rnacentral:rRNA from 1 species
CCUACGGGAGGCAGCAGUGGGGAAUAUUGGACAAUGGGCGAAAGCCUAAUCCAGCAAUGCCGCAUGAGUGAUGAAGGCCCUAGGGUUGUAAAGCUCUUUUACCCGGGAUGAUAAUGACAAUACCAAGAAAAUAAGCCCCGGCUAACUCCGUGCCAGCAGCCGCGGUAAU